CCAUUUGCUAGUGUGCAAAGAACCAAGUAACUGAUGUCCUUGGAAGCACUGGUGACAUGCAAACCUGGUGACAGUAGAAGCACAGAGCCACUUUGCAGGUUGUGGCUCCCCAGGGUAGUCUCUGAUUCCCGAACCCAAAUACUGGUCAUCUGUGAAGACCAAUACUGAAGAUCCACAUGAGGAUUUCUGCUUAUUUCACAGAAUCACAGAAUGUUAGGGAUUGAAAGGGACCUCAAAAGAUCAUCUAGUCCAAUCCCCAAACUUGUUCUGGACCAUGUGUGUGCUUCUGAAGAGAUUCUCACAACACCACAGAUGGGAAAUGCCUUCUCAGUGUGUGAAGUUUCCUUGUGUUGUCCUUGUCUCUUCUACGUGAAGGAAGUGGGGAAAAUAACUUUAAAUAAGUCACCUCCUGCAUAUGAGAGAAGAACAGCUUAUGGGGUACAAGGAAAAUGUUCAGGGAGACUGAGCAGCCAUGGCAAAGGAACAUGUUGGGAGUAUCUCAUGGAGAUAAUAGCCAUGGUGAGGGGUGUGGGAGAACACAGAAAACCUGCAGCUGGUUCUGGGACCACAGGUUUUGAAAACAUAUGGAGAAUAUCACUGCAGUGCUUGUCCCAGGGGUGGUCCUGCCCUUGGCAGCUGGCUGUGUGGGGAAGGAGGAAUGCGCCACCUCUAGACGCCGCGAUGGAUGCUCCCACUCACAGGUUUUGCUGUGAAAUGGUUCAAUUAAGAUGUUCCAAUGCAAGCACUGAAAUUCAGGUCCACAAAUCAAGGAAAAGUCUCCCUUGGACUGUGCUCAUGCCAGCACACAGGUUUUUUCAACUUGAUUUUGAGCUCAGAAAAUUCUGGUUUGUGUGCUAACCAGUCAGGCAAGUGACUGUGGCUCUGCAGGUAACUGGACGUAACAAGGUGAGACACAUUUUGGUCCCAGACUCAAGUUUUACCUCUCUCAGAUGAAACAUUACAACUCAAUGUUGUGUCAGUACUUUGGGGAGAAGAAGGAGGGAGACAAGAGUCCCCACAAUGUUUCUUUGCAUGCCUGAGUCAAAUUACCCUCCCUUCUGCGGGGCUUCUUCUGAAAUAACAGAUCUUACUGUAACCAAAUAUUGCCAUCCAGGAAAGCCAUUCUGCAACCAGCAAGGAGGCUUCUUCCU